rnacentral:rRNA from 1 species
UACGUAGGGUGCAAGCGUUUGUCCGGAAUUAUUGGGCGUAAAGAGCUCGUAGGCGGUUUGUCGCGUCUGCUGUGAAAACUCGGGGCUUAACCCCCGGGCCUGCAGUGGGUACGGGCAGACUAGAGUGCGGUAGGGGAGACUGGAAUUCCUGGUGUAGCGGUGAAAUGCGCAGAUAUCAGGAGGAACACCGGUGGCGAAGGCGGGUCUCUGGGCCGUAACUGACGCUGAGGAGCGAAAGCGUGGGGAGCGAACAGG